UACGUAGGGGGCUAGCGUUAUCCGGAUUUACUGGGCGUAAAGGGUGCGUAGGUGGUUUCUUAAGUCAGGAGUGAAAGGCUACGGCUCAACCGUAGUAAGCUCUUGAAACUGGGAAACUUGAGUGCAGGAGAGGAAAGUGGAAUUCCUAGUGUAGCGGUGAAAUGCGUAGAUAUUAGGAGGAACACCAGUAGCGAAGGCGGCUUUCUGGACUGUAACUGACACUGAGGCACGAAAGCGUGGGGAGCAAACAGGAUUAGAUACCCUGGGUAGUCCACGCCGUAAACGAUGAGUACUAGGUGUCGGGGGGUUACCCCCCUCGGUGCCGCAGCUAACGCAUUAAGUACUCCGCCUGGGGAGUACGCUCGCAAGAGUGAAACUCAA
rnacentral:rRNA from 1 species